GAUGAACGCUGGCGGCGUGCCUAAUACAUGCAAGUCGAGCGAACAGACGAGGAGCUUGCUCCUCUUACGUUAGCGGCGGACGGGUGAGUAACACGUGGAUAACCUACCUAUAAGACUGGGAUAACUUCGGGAAACCGGAGCUAAUACCGGAUAAUAUAUUGAACCGCAUGGUUCAAUAGUGAAAGACGGUUUUGCUGUUACUUAUAGAUGGAUCCGCGCCGCAUUAGCUAGUUGGUAAGGUAACGGCUUACCAAGGCAACGAUGCGUAGCCGACCUGAGAGGGUGAUCGGCCACACUGGAACUGAGACACGGUCCAGACUCCUACGGGAGGCAGCAGUAGGGAAUCUUCCGCAAUGGGCGAAAGCCUGACAGAGCAACGCCGCGUGAGUGAUGAAGGUCUUCGGAUCGUAAAACUCUGUUAUUAGGGAAGAACAAAUGUGUAAGUAACUAUGAACGUCUUGACGGUACCUAAUCAGAAAGCCACGGCUAACUACGUG
rnacentral:rRNA from 1 species